ensembl:lncRNA
CCAUUUCUCUGUAACUUCCCUUUCUGCAGUUGAUUGCUGCAGUAGGAGCUUUCUACUUUUCCCCUCACUGCAAAUGGUUUGUAGUCAACAGACUUUCUGCUAAAUCCAUACUGCUAUAUCCAUACAGGAGAAAGCUUAGCCCAUGGCAGCUCAAACCCACCAGGACGAUGCCCAAGCACGGUCUGCCCAAUGGGUUGGCCAUACAGAUGUCCUCUCCAAGGAUAGAGUUCUUCUCCAAGAUGACCACCAUGGGACAACCCCAGGGAUGUGGCUGGCCAUUCUCACAUGUGCCCAACCGAAAACCAGCUGGGACUGAGCACAGCAUCCCCAAGCACAGACCCCAUCAGAAAAGAAGGAGCAGCAGCGAUGCCCAACCCAGACAGCUGAUGGCUGGGACCCCCCAGGACUGUAUUCCCCUUGUUAUGGUUUCACCUCCGUGUUUGUACAAAGCGUCUGGGCACCAGCGCUGCGCCCAGGGUUGUUUAGAGGGUGCUGCCAAGAGCUGGUGCUGAUCUGAGCUCUGCUGAGCAGGGAAUGCAUCCCUCCAAAAUCUGAGUCCACCCUGCUCCAUCAGCACAGAAUUCCCAUGAAUUAGCGUCAGUAUCAGGAGUAUCCCCCCAAAUCUCCCCAUACAAUCAUAGAAUCAUAGGAUCACAGAAUGGCCUGGGUUGAAAAGGACCACAGUGCUCAUCCAGUUCCAACCCCCUGCUAUGUGCAGGGUCGCCAACCAGCAGCCCAGGCUGCCCAGAGCCACAUCCAGCCUGGCCUUGAAUGCCUGCAGGGAUGGGGCAUCCACAGCCUCCUUGGGCAACCUGUUCAGUGCGUGUGGUGCAUUUGCUUUCAGUAUGAGCUGAAGCCUGCAGUAUGUAGGAAGACUCAUCCCCAGCUUCUUCCUCAUUUCUCUCAUUCUACCCCUUUCCAGCAAAUCCUGGUUGCCUCUUUAGGAGAAAGAGGCAAAUUCGAGGAAUUGAAAAGCUCCCCCUUGGGAUCUGGCUUCCUGUUUUGCUCCGCGUGGCCGAGCAUGGCAACGUUUUCCAUAAAGCAGAAGUGAAACAGAGAAGUGAAGGGCACGUGGGCUGCUCCAUGCAGAACGCGCCGUCGCCGACGCUCUGUUCCGGCUCCCAAAAUAAAACCAACAUCCGCUUCGGUCCCCUCGGUGGUGGCUGGGCUCUUCCACUGCAUGUGCCCCUUAGGACCCGAGCCUGAGUCAACAGCGCAGAUUGCCUUUAAUUGAGGAAAAAAAUAGAUCAGUGAAGGAAUUAGCAUCCAUCCACCAAUUGCACGGGCUGAAAAUGGCAUGAAAAUUGCAUCCAUCCGGAUGGGAGAGUCGAACCGUGGUCCCGAGUCCCUGAUGAGCUCAACGCACGCCACAUCCACCAUCUCUUUUUUGGAGCACUAGAAGUGGAGUCCAGCUUCUGAGGGGAUGCGGGGAAUGACUCUGCUUUGGGAUCCCAGGGAGGGAAUCCAGCAGGGCUGGAAGCAUCACGUCGAGCCAUCUAUUGAGAGCUGGGUGAUCCUGUCUGUUGGGGAUGCAAGGAGUUCUUGCCAAACACCCUGGCAAAGAGAAAGACGGAGUACUAAAUUUUU